UUUACAAAUAGGCUUUCAGUCACGCAACACAUCUACAACAAAGCACAGCUCCCAGCAAACUUAGUAUUGAGUAUUUGAGUAUUUUUAAAGGAAAGGCAGAACUCAUACCACAGUAGGAGAAUUAUUUAUAUUAUUUAUAAAUUUAUAUUAUUUAAUUAUUAUUUACAGUGAACAAAAAUGUAAUGCCUCAAAACAUCUAAAUGAGAACAUAUUAUUCAUCACAAUGCUUUCAUGAUUACAAUUAGCACAAACACAUUUGUGAUGCUUCCAAACAUCAGUGGGAAUGUUGAUAUGUUUACAUCUGUGUAACAGAGAUUUGUCUAUUUUCCAUGGAGCAAACUAUUAUUUUUCAAACAGUGUAGGAAUAGGAAAGCAGACAUCACAAAGAAUGGUUGAUCGACUGUCUGGUUUAGAGCAAUCACUAUUUUCAUGCUUUUGGAGAGAAUUAUAUAUAAUCCACAUUAGCGUGAGAUUUUAACAUUUAAUGUGAGAUUCCACCGUGUUACAGAUGCUACAAAACUGUUCUGUGCAUGUCCUGGACACACAUAUUUCAGUACAGGGUGUAUUAGUGCACUGGAUGAGGUGUGGUUCAGAGGGUGGUUACGGCAGAGGUUACUUCUCCCAUUUGAAUUCCUCAGGCACAGGGGUACCCAUGGUGCCCUACAGCACCGUGUCUGGUUUCUCAGGUGAGAGCGAUGGGGACGCCGCGCUCCGCUGAGUGCUGCCAAGCGUCCCCCCCGCCAAUGCAGCUGGAGGGCGGGCACAAAACUCGCAUCUCCGGAGGUUUCCGCAGCGUCUCGCUGCCCUUCCCGGGCUCGCUCGGGUUGGCUGAGGGCUCCGCACGCUGAGGAAGGGACGGGCGGCUGAGCUGCUCUUUGGGCUGAAAGCCGUGGGCAGCUGUGCCCGGGCGCUGCUGAUCCCAGGCUGAGCCCCUGCCGAUGGAUGACUCACUGCUUGCGGACAUCUGCUCCGGGAGCCGCUGCGCUCCCGCCCGUGUCCUGGAGCUGGAUUUCCAUACUGACGUUUUUCAGCUCUAGACAGGGUUGUAUUUAGAAACAAUUUUCUGCUGCGAA
rnacentral:lncRNA from 1 species